AAUCAGAUGCUUCUGAGGAACCUAAAUGUAAGUAAAUUGUACCCUGUGUUUUAUCCUCGUUUAAAUGUUGAAUGAACAUGAUGGUUUUAGGCUUUUCCAGAAAACACACAUAGCAUAAUAUAUUGGCACAAUUGGGAUUCAGAGGUCAUUAGAAAUUCUAGGUAGAAUUAUCAUGAAGAUUCAAUUACCUCUUGUUUCUUGACAAGGUUGAUUACUAGGCUGUGGUCAAAGUUGUUUAGAAAAAUGUGAAGUGCAGCUUCUUUCCUCUCUGCUUGACAUCUUUGGGCAAAUCAAAUUCUGAUUUCCAUUUUCUAUCAAUAUUUUAAAAGAUAGCUUAGUAAAUAGACUUAUAAUAUAUUGAAUAGAAAUUUUUAAGUAUACCUAAGUCUAAAUAUAUUAAAUUUAUUUUAAAAUAUGUGAACAAAUCUUGUAGUAUAGUACCCUAAAAGAACAGUGCAUUUUAUAUCACACCCAUACUUCAUUAGAUGAAGUCAAUAUUUACAAAAUAUUUGUCAAAUCUAAAUAAAAAGCCAAAUUAUAUGUAUCAUAAAUGGUUGACUUGGUUAUCAAAAUUUAUUUGUAAGCCAACAGGUAUAAUUUUAUUCAAUAAUUUUCUGAUAAAUUGGUUAAAUGAAUUUCACUUAAAAGAAACUUUAUUUUGAUUUGUAAAGGUUGUUUAUUAUUUAAAAUUUCUCAUACAAUAUCUUUUGAUUAUGUUUUCUCCUCUCUUCUCCUCAUUUCCCUAACCACUCAGCUUCAUGUUCGGUCUUUCUCGAAAUCAAAACAAAAGAGAAAAUCAAAAUAAACAAACAGCAACAAAACCAGUAAGACAAAAAAUAAAGUCCAAAUGAACCUGAAGGAAACAAAAAUUCCACAACAUUCUAUGGUGCUUAUUUGUGUUGGUCAACUUCUGUGCGUGGAGCCCUCCCUAGAAUGUGCAGACAUACCUACCUUGUCAUACUUCAUUGCAGAAAGCUGAUUUUCCCUUUCCUAGCAGGCAUCAAUUUCUGAUAGCCUUUUGGUUAAGGCUGGGACUUCAUUGUCUCCAUUUCUACUCUUCAGUGAUGGAAUUUUGUCUGGCUUCAACCUGUGCAGGUCUUGGGCAGUCAGCCACAAUUUGUGAGUUCAUAUGUGCAUCAGUUCUACUGUGCCUGGAAGAAAACAUUUCCUUCGAGUCAUCUAUCACCUCUGGCUCACAUGAUCAUUCUGCCUCUUCUUCAGCGUAGAUCUCUGAGGCUCAAAGGGAGGGCUUUGGUGAAGACAUAUGUUUAGAAUUGAGUGCUUCAAAACCUCUCACUCUCUGUACAUUGUUCAAUGUGAGCAUCUGUGUUAAUUGUCACUGCAAGAAGAAGCUUGGUGAAGGGUAAGCAAUAUACUUAUCUAUGAGUAUAACAUUAUGUUAUUAUGGGUCAUUUUAUUGCUGUUUCUUUAGCAAAAUAAUAGUAAUAAACAGCUUUGCUCUAGGCCUGUGUACUAUCUAAUCUUAGGUUAUUUGGCAUCUUAACAGUGUCGGGUAUGUGUUUCAUCUCACGGACUGGACCUUAAGUCUAUGGAGUAAAAUGAUUGUUUACUCUCAUCAUACUUGUGCCACGAUUACACCAGUGUAUCCCAUAGGAAGGUCAUGGUAGUAGAUCACAGGAUUUGUAGCUAGGAGAUAUUGAUACUGUAAAGUAACUUCCAGUCCAUGAAUCCUGGCUAGGAAAGUUGAAGGUUUAAGGUACACACCAGCUCAACUUCUAUAUAAUCUAUUAAGAUCAGUGAAGAUGUUUUAUUUAAACUUGGAAGCUUAUUAUCAGUUUGUUGUGAUUAUCAAAAGAUAAAUGAAUAUUAGUCUUUGCAUCUAAGAAAUUUUGGUCAUGAAACUUUCUCUUGGCAAUUCUGUUUAAGACUUAUGGAAAGUCCAAGUAAAACUGAUAGAUGUGACAAAAAUUUCUGUGUUCAUUCUAUGUACAAGCUUCUACAUUCUCUUAUGUUUUGCCAUUUUAGAUAUUGGAUCAGAGCACUGCAGGUUGGGUAACUAAUCGAGAACAGAAAUUUAUUUUUCACAGACUUAAAAACUGGAAGUCUGACAUCAGGAUGUAGGCAUGUUAGAUUCUGCUGAGGGUUGCAGACCAUUGUGUUCUUCUUGUAUUUCUCCUGAAAGAAGCACUUUCCAGAGUUUCUUAUAUAGAAGAACUAAUACUAUUCAGAAAGGGCCCUUCUAUUUGAUAUAGUUACUACCCAAGACCUUUACUCUGAAUACCAUCACACAGAGGAAGAUGAAAUUUCAGCUUGGGAAUUCUAAGGUUCAUAAACAUUUGGCCCAUUGCCUUAACCCAUCAGACUCUAAUGAAAUAUACAAUGUCAUUUCUGAGCUUUCUCCUUUGCAAAAUCCUUGAGUUGACAUAGCAGAGGUUUUACUUGGCUUACAAAUUUGCAAAAUCAUCAUCAUUACAUCAUUGAAAGCAAGCACUACUGUUAACGGUCUGAGUCAGGUAGACUUUGGGAAUAACUGAAUAAGAAUGAACAUCUUUUGAUAUAAUUUCUAAAAAUUAGCAAGAUUUCUCAAGAAUAUUCAUAGCUAAAGAUUAAGUAACAUUAAUUGUGUUGUCAUAUUUAUCAAAUUCUGUGUAAAACAAUUUACAUCUGGUGACCAAGUACAUCUCUGUUGACAUUUCAGUUUUGAAGUGUUUCAGUUGCAUUACUUUAGCCUACAUGCCGCUCAACUAUAGGAUAUUGGAAACAUUUAUUUCAGUCUAAAAAUGUGAGUCAUACUCAUUUUUGGAAAUAAAAACCUUGAGUAGUCAUUUGAAAAUUAAUCUACUUGGCAGUUCAGCAUCUCAUCUUGGUGGACUAUUUCAGGAAGCUAGGUACAGAGGACAUGGUGUCAUUUCUGGAGCUGGCUGACAUUGGGCAACCAAGUUGCAUAGGGUUGUUUCUUUAAACACACAAAAAAAUGUAACAUGGGCGUGCUAUGUACUUCUUUGGCACUUCUAAAUAUUAGCUCAUGUCAAACUAAAAUAUAUCACCUCAAGC
rnacentral:lncRNA from 1 species